rnacentral:lncRNA from 1 species
UACAAAGAGACGAGACGCCGCCGGAUUAUCGAUAGGAUUUAUAUGAUAAUUGAUUUGUGAUAUGUUAUGUGGAAUAUGACUUGACUAUAUGGUAGAGUCAAAGCAUGAUUAUGUGUUAAGUGAUAUGUGAUAAGUUUAAAGGGGUAUAUAAGUGGGUAUCGAUAUACGUGAUAUGUAUAUGCGAUAUAUUGUUUAGUGACUAUAGCAUUAUCUUAUUCUCGUAAAGGAUUUGGACGAGACGUGUACGCUCGAGACGUCAGGAAGUCGAAAUGGUAUUGCAAGGCGAAUAAGGGAUGAACCGAGGAAGCAAAGAUGUACGGUAGAUAGAGUAUAGCCAGAGAUGGUCUAGAGACUAUGAUAUGCAUAGAUUGUGAAAGUGGAAAGAUGAGAUUGAGCUGUGAGUUGGGAACCGGUAUUUAAGGCAAGUAUCCUAUACCCUUCUUUUGGAUAUCUUGCAAUUAUUCUGAUCCAUUCUUUUCGUAUGUGUUGCAAAUAUUUGUUCCUCUCUUUUCAUAUUUGAAAGUAUAAAUAUUUUAUCCAUCCUUUUCUAAUCCUCAAAAAUUCAGAUAAUUCCAGUUUUACAAAUUAAUUCGAAGUUCAGAUUGUCAUUGAAGCAUGUGUUGCUCAGUGAUGAUUAGAACCUAGAAUGACUUGGGAUCUUCUUGAUUAUUCAACCCGCCAUUGUCAUGCUGGUUUAGCAGGCUAAAUUCAGUUGCUUAGCCGAUAAUGGAGGAUAUUGAAUAGUUAAGGAUUUCCUGAACUAUGAUUUAUGGAAGGAUGGACUCUGGUUUAUGAAAAGUUGAUUAUUAAAGUGUGAUUUGGAAUUAUUCUAUCAUUGAUAUUGAUUGUGUUUAUGUUCUGUUGUUAUACGUUGACCUGUUAUUGAAUUAGAGAAUUGGAUUAUUAUUUUUUUUGAUAUAAACCUGUGGACCAGAUUCGUGGUCAUGUUAGGCCAAUGAGUGCCUUGGAUCCAGUGAUAGAGCAUGGCGGGGCCUGCUCGGGGUUAGUGCGGAACUGAUCAGCUGCCUAACCUUGGUUUUAAUUAAAAUGUGAUAGUCCAAUUCAAUAAUUCUUUGGAAAGAUUGAAUUUCUCAGUUUAAAUGCUGCAAGGUAUUGUAAAUCAUUCUAUACAAUACCAUGAACUCAUGAACUCAGGUUGAAUCCUCUUAUAUCUUGAACUCGUGAACUUCUGUUAUAUCAUUUCAGAACUAUCAUUGUUUAUUAUUACUUGCUGAGCAUUGUUGCUCACCCUUGCUAUUCCUUUCUAACCAUUUCAGAAAGGCUUAAAGAUGAGAUGAUUGAUUGAGAUUGUGAAUAAGGCUAAUGCUAGGCGAGGAGACAGAGUUGAGGAUCCAGUGGUCGAGGAGUGUUCAGGAAAGUUGAUGAGGUUGGUGCAAGCUGGAAUAGUUGACAGUGAUUCUUCUUAUCGAAGAUGAUCUGAUUUGGUAAGAGAUGUUGUGUAAUAAUAGUGGUAGAUUCUAAUUUCAAUACUGUAACCUGGAUGCGAUCCUGUUGCUUUUAGGGGGUUUAAAUGUUCUCUUUCGAAUCAUUUAUUAAAGUUUAAAUGUUCUCUUGAAAUUCUCCUAUUAUGGCUUUCAAGUUUGAAAUUCAGGUUUUGAAAUCAUUCGAUUUAUGUUCUCAUUCAAAUCUUUUAUUAAAUGUUUUCAGGUUUUAAAUUCUCUGAUUUUAUUAUCUAAAAAUAAAAAAAUAAAAAAAAAAAUUUCCAGGUUUUCGAAAGUGUUUUAAAAAGGUUUUUAUGUGGUGACGUCAGAAUCCAGGCCCCCGGAUUCUCGGACCGUCACAGUUGGUAUCAGAGCCACAGGUUAUAAGUAUUUGAAAUUAGAAUAUAGAUCAUAGUUAUAGGUUUUCUAGAGAAGAAUGUGGUGUAACCUCACAUAGAGGUAUGGUCGGACUAUUUAGGAAUAGUCUAGAGAUGUGAGUGAAGCAUAGAGUUUAGUUAGAUGAUCAAGUUAAGUGUGGAUAUCUAAAGAGAUUAGGAUUCUUAAGUUUAGACAUAUGAUUUCUAGUAUGUUGAUUAAUUGAGAUGGUGAAUUGUGGGAAAGGUCAGUAUUAGACCUAUAUAGAAGAGUUUGAUAGUGAAUGAUUGAGUUGAGAAUGGUGAAAAUGCAGAGUUCAGAGUAUUCUGACUAUACUGCAUAUUUGAAAUUGGAUUAUUGUAUUGAUUUGAGGAUGAUAUAAAUGCAUGGUUCAUAGUAUGUUGACCAUGUCAGAUAUUUGGAAGAUGUAUAUUGUUUUGAGUGAAGAUAUGAAGAGUAAGUGUAGAGUAUGAGUUGUAUUGGAUUAGAAGGAGAGAUUGGUAGAUAGAGGUUGAUAGGUGAGAAGUGAAUGAUAGAGAGUACGUGGAAUUGAGUCCAGUUAUUAGAGAUGAUGUCUACGAGUAAGUUAGAACGUUAGUCCUCGACGACAAUGCUUCGAGCUAAUCGGGAUUUCAAAUGGCAUCAAGGUGGGCCCAUAACCCACAGGUUGAUGAUCCAGACAAUCGAAGAUACGUUACGUGUUUGUGCUAUGGAUUUCAAAGGCAACUGGGAUAAAGUAGAAGAAUGUAAACUACAUGGGCCAGAGUUAUUACGGACGAUAACGUCUACGAUGACAUCUUACGAGGCUAUUACGAGUCAAAUCGAUUGAUUAUCAAGAACGUUGAAAGGAUGACAUAAAUCGAAUAACGAUUUCGUAAAGCAGAGUGGGAAUUUGAGAAGACCUUGGCAAUACCUCUCUUCAACUAAAGAUUCUUUUGAUUGUUUUCUCAUCAGUGAGAUAUUAUCAUGAUAUCUUUUCUACAAAAGUUUUGAUAAAUGAGAUCUUCAAUUUCUCAAAUUCUAAGAUGACAUUGAUAUUGAUUAUUGGUAUGAGUUGGAAAGCAAAGAUGUGUGAUAAAGGUUUGUUGUGAAGAGAUAGUGAUGUUCCUUGAUAUUGUUUGACAUUUCUUGACAUUCCUUGAUACCCUUUCAUCUUCCUUGAUAUCCCUUAGUGUUCUUUGAUAUUGUUGAUAUUCCUUGAUAUUCUCUGAUAUUCCUUAACAUUUCUUCAAUUUGAUUGGGAUGAACAACCCUAUUUAUAGGGGACACAAGGUAUACCUGUCUGUGUGAUAGGAGUUGGAUGGGACGCCAUCACUUGUGUGUGUUGUGAUUACAAGAAGGUUAACAACCUUUAGUAGUGUCUAAUAUGGACACGCAACAUUAAGUUCAUUUGAUCGUAUUGAUCUCCCAGUCACUCUUGUAUUCCAAUGUGACCUAUUUUGAAAACAUCUUGUUCUAUUCGAAAAUUCCCAAAGAUCGAUUCUUGGCAAAUGAAUUUUGCAAUCGCGAAAGUUUGAUUUUCCUUUUCCAUUAAAGUUAAAGGUAUGCCAAGAUCAAUCAAAGGUGGAUGACGAUAUGAUAUUACGAAGUGUGUAC